GCUUAUUCUUCAAGGUUUGCCCAUCCUGC
rnacentral:piRNA from 1 species